AUGUACGAGCAAGACAAGCAGGUGAUUCGAAUAAUAACCGACAUUCUACGUGAUAACCCAUACUCUCAACAGUUCAGGAGUUUGGGACAAGCCCAGAACCUUGAGGACUACAGACUCAUAUUGAACCUUGACCAAAGAUUGGACCAGAGAACUUACAAUGCACCAAUCAAUUCAGAGGUAGCUGCAGUGUGGAUUGAACGAAAUGAAAGAAGAGAUACUUAUGACAAGAAUGUAAUACUACAUGGGAACAACAACAAAAUAGAGCACAUUCGAUCAUAUUAUGGGUGUUAUGAUCCAUUGUCGUACCCUCUAUUCUUUCCAAGAGUUGAACUGGGUUGGCAUAGGAAAAUCCCAAAGAAGGAUACACGAGAGGAAGCUAUUGAUGCUGAUGAUGUCCAUGAUGAUGAUGAACCAGGACUUUUCCAGCAGUUUGCUGUAGAUACAUACGUCAAGAUUGAAAGCUCUAGACUAGAUUACAUCUGGCAUCAUCAAAAGGAAAUAAGGGCAGAUCUAUACCAAGGCCUUCUAGACAGCAUUCAAGCUGGAGAAGAAAAGGGAAACGCAGUCGGAAAACAGAGAGUACUUGCAUCAUCAUUUAUUGGAGGACCACGCGAUAAACUUCGCCGGUAUCUAGAUGCUAUGGCUUUGGUUAGAAAAUAUGGAAAGCCAGACAUAUUCCUCACAAUGACCUGCAACCCCAAUUGGGACGAGAUCACACGUGAACUACAAUCCGGGCAAACACCACAAGAUCGCCCAGAUAUUGUAGUUCAUGUUUUUAGGGCGAAGCAAGAAGAAAUGAAGAAGCAACUAUUUCAGAAGGCCAUUCUCGGAAAGGUUAUACAUAUGUUGUAG
rnacentral:rRNA from 1 species